UUUUUGCACGUCCCAUCCUAGUUCUGCGUGCAGUUGCAUCAGCACCGUCGAAAAUCAUCACACGGCCCCACCAUAUGUCGGCCCUAAAUUUAACAGCCAAGACGCAGACACCGCCUCUUGUGCAAAUGUAGAAAUUAACCAAACAUCAAAAUAAAUCAAGAAAUUGAGACCCACAAAAAUUCUCAGAGGAACUCCAAUGGCAGAACCAAAACCAGAGCUCAAGGACUCUCUCUCAGUAAAAAUUUGAUCUUGGUGAUGGGUUUUAGAUAAAGUUAAUAGUUCUCUGAGGUGGUGGUAUUUGUUAAGCCGAUGUAAAUUGCGAAGAGAGGAAUUCAAGCUCGAGUGCAUAGGAGAGCACAACCUCUUUAAUCAAUGUGUUUACGCCAACGUCUGUUAUUUAUUGAAGAACAUUGUAGAAAUGAUACUUCUAUUAGCCAAGUCUCGAUUUUAAAUUAUAAAUUUAUGCAUAUAUUUAUGUAUUCUGGCAUGGCAGAGAAAUCAGCAGGACAUCAUGGUGAUAAAUCGCCAAGGCAUGACAAAGAAACGCAUGGAAGGAGUGAUGACAUUGAUGAGAGCACCUCCAUAGAUGAAG